CAGCCAUCUCCACGAAGAGUCCCAUAUUUGGUCCCGAGGAGGUGAAUAGUGUGGAAGGUCCUGGGCUCCUAAAUGACACUAAAGUCUACACAGUGGACCUGGGCAGAACGGUGACCAUCAACUGCCCUUUCAAGACUGAGAAUGCUCAAAAGAGGAAGUCCUUGUACAAGCAGAUAGGCCUGUACCCUGUGCUGGUCAUCGACUCCAGUGGUUAUGUAAAUCCCAACUAUACAGGAAGAAUACGCCUUGAUAUUCAGGGUACU
rnacentral:lncRNA from 1 species